GUAGGUGGCGAGCGUUAUCCGGAAUUAUUGGGCGUAAAGGGUGCGCAGGCGGUUUUUUAAGUUUAAGGUGAAAGCGUGGNGCUUAACCCCNUAUAGCCUUAGAAACUGAGAGACUAGAGUACAGGAGAGGGCAAUGGAAUUCCAUGUGUAGCGGUAAAAUGCGUAGAUAUAUGGAGGAACACCAGUGGCGAAGGCGGUUGCCUGGCCUGUNACUGACGCUCAUGCACGANAGCGUGGGGAGCAAAUAGGAUUAGAUACCCUAGUAGUCCACGCCGUAAACGAUGANAACUAAGUGUUGGGGAAACUCANUGCUGCNGUUAACGCAAUANGUUCUCCGCCUGGGGAGUAUGCACGCNAGUGUGAAACUCANAGGAAGCC
rnacentral:rRNA from 1 species